UGUAGCCCCCCCCCACCUUCGUACAGAUAGACUGUGCACUGUUGAAUGACACAUCUCUGCCUGUGGCCUUUUGCAAGUUUCUCUGAGCUCUUCAACCUUUUGUUGGAAUGUCAAACAGAACUCAGUGCAGUUUGUUGAAGUAGCCUUUUAAAAAGGUCUGCUUGUGUACACUGUCAGUCUCAUGACCCAACGCCCUUCAUUCAUCCUCCUUUCUAGAUGGGAACAGUGGGAGAUGUGGUGAUAGGAAAUUACACUUAGUGAUCUUGGGCAAGUCACUUAGUUUCGGCUUUGGUUUCCUCAGCUUUAAAAUUAGGAGUAGUUUAGAUUAUUUAAUUUUUAAAAAAUUUAUGGGGACUUCCCUGGUGGCGCAGUGGUUAAGAAUCUGCCUGCCAAAGCAGGGGACAUGGGUUCGAGCCCUGGUCCAGGAAGAUCCCACAUGCCACCGAGCAACUAAGCCCGUGCGCCACAACUACUGAGCCUGCGCGCCACAGCUACUGAGCCCAUGUGCCACAACUACUGAAGCCCGCGCACCUAGAGCCCGUGCUCCGCAACAAGAGAAGCCACCGCAAUGAGAAGCCCGUGUACCGCAACUAAGAGUAGCCCCAGCUCGCCACAACUAAAAAAAGCCUGUGCGCAGCAAUGAAGACCCAACACAGCCAAAUAAAUAAAUACAUAAAUUUUUUAAAAAUUUAUGAAAUACAGGAAAAAUGCAGAAAAUAAUAUAGUAGACAGUACUCAGAUUUAACUUACAUUUAUGUUUGACCACAUUAGGUGAUCUUUAAAGGUCCUUUAAAAGAAAAGAUUU